rnacentral:lncRNA from 1 species
GCAAAUUCAACUAAUAUCUGUUCAAUUCAGUCCAAUUAUUGCUUUUACUUCUUUUUCUCCACUGAAUCGAUCUUACCAAGGUAACCUUUCCACAGGCAACUGCCACUAAAAACUCUCUACAGCCCAGAUGCCCGGAGUGGAGAGGGUUAAAUGAACCUACGUAUCUACCAUCUCUUUCUUAAGUGCUGUGCAUAAGUCCAGAAAUGAGCAGGGAGGCAGUAAAUACUCAUUGGUGGGCGAGUGAGCUUGAACUCUUACACAGCAGUUGAAAGGUAUGAAGGGCAGGGCAUUUAACUUUUCUUCUCUCAUUUCAGGAAAAAAACCCAUAAAAUGUUCCAAAGUUCUCAGACAAUGAAGAUUUGUGCCUACGCAAAGUAAACAAGGAAGUCUCAGCCACAAGUGUCUUAUUCAUUCUGGAUAUGAAGAGAAAAAAGAGAAAAGGAACGUUUGUGAAAAUUCUAUAAAGAUGUCUUUCCACACUAUAUACGGGGAAGUUGCUGAGUUCAAAGUUUAUGAAAUUUGGAGUUUAUUUUACAUCAGUGAUGUCAGCAGCACAGCAAUAAUCAAUUUUAUCUUGAAGUUCAUUAUCAUCUCAGCAGCAAAGUCUUGGAUUUAAGUUGGAACGUUCUCAUUUACCUAGAAUAAAAGGUGACAUUUCUUUCCA